CUAGGACUUUGGCUCUUGGACUGCUUCUUGGAGGACUGCUCCUGGAUCUUCUCCUUUGGACUUUGGUGUUGGAGGACUUCACUUUGGAACAUGGCUUUUGGUCUUCUCCUUUAGAGUUUGUCUUGGAUGGCUUCCAGGACCAGUGCUAUCCAGGACCAACUGUGCCCGUUGGCUGAGUUGACUUGCAAUAUCCCUUGGAGGCACAGGUCAGCUGUCCAGAUGGUAUUGCCAGAAAUGUUUGCUUCUCAAUUUAAUUUCUUGUUCCUUUGCUAUUCUAUUUCAUUAAAUGUGGUUUUUUUUCUCA